AGGGAAAUAGCUCAGUGGUAAGGUGCAUGCUUAGCACACACGAGAUCCUGGGUUCAAUUCCCAGUACCUCCA
rnacentral:tRNA from 1 species